rnacentral:rRNA from 1 species
AUUGAACGCUGGCGGCAGGCCUAACACAUGCAAGUCGAGCGAGCGGCGGACGGGUGAGUAAUGUAUGGGGAUCUGCCUGAUGGCGGGGGAUAACUACUGGAAACGGUAGCUAAUACCGCAUACCAUCAGAUGAACCCAUAUGGGAUUAGCUUGUAGGUGGGGUAACGGCUGACCUAGGCGACGAUCCCUAGCUGGGCUGAGAGGAUGAUCAGCCACACUGGGACUGAGACACGGCCCAGACGCCUACGGGAGGCAGCAGUGGGGAAUAGUGCACAAGGGGCGCAAGCCUGAUGCAGCCAUGCCGCGUGUAUGAAGAAGGCCUUCGGGUUGUAAAGUACUUUCAGUCGGGAGGCGUUACCGACAGAAGAAGCACCGGCUAACUCCGUGCCAGCAGCCGCGGUAAUUC